CAAUAGUCAGGGUGGGGUCAGUUGGCUCCCUGCUGGGCUACUUGCCCCCAUACAGGCUUUUAUAUGCAGAGGAACGAGUAACAAUGGGAGAAGUAAGGGAGGAGCCGGGGCAGAGUCUCCCCUUUAUCCUCAUUACUCCCCAUGGCUAAGGGCAGAAGGGGGGAGUAGUAUAAAGAGUUGGGGAAUAUCUCCAAGGAGCAGAUUUCUGGGGAGAGUCUCUGCUGAGGACGUACCAGGGGGAAGAGAAGAAGAGCCGGACAGGAAGGAAUUCUUACCCAGACACAGGUUCCCGGGGGGUCGGACUGGAGAGAAUAAGGAUUUACCCAGAGGGAGAUUUUCCCAAUCCCAGAGACCAGCAGGAUACAAGAGAAAAUAAUGCUGCUUCAUAUCAGGAACUGGCCUGAGAAAGAGCAGCAGAACCUCAGUGCUGGGAGAUAUUGUUUAGUUCCAUAUGGAUCUGACAUGUCCAGGAUGAAGAAGAUCAUAGAAGUUGGAAGGGAAAGUAAAAAUGUUCAGGGGAACCUCAGCCGAACCCAAACUCCCAAUGAAUCUGUCAGAACCCCCAACCAGAAUGAUAGGUUCCAGGUAUCUCAGGAACAUUGUGUUGAUGGAACCUCUUCUGCUCUACAAAUACAAAAG